UACGAAGGGGGCUAGCGUUGCUCGGAAUUACUGGGCGUAAAGGGCGCGUAGGCGGACAGUUAAGUUGGGGGUGAAAGCCCGGGGCUCAACCUCGGAAUUGCCUUCAAUACUGGCUGUCUUGAGUAUGAGAGAGGUGUGUGGAACUCCGAGUGUAGAGGUGAAAUUCGUAGAUAGUUCGGAAGAACACCAGUGGCGAAGGCGACACACUGGCUCAUUACUGACGCUGAGGCGCGAAAGCGUGGGGAGCAAACAGG
rnacentral:rRNA from 1 species